rnacentral:rRNA from 1 species
CCUACGGGAGGCUGCAGUGGGGAAUUUUGCGCAAUGCUCGUAAGAGUGACGCAGCGACGCCGCGUGAAUGACGAAGGCCUUCGGGUCGUAAAGUUCUUUCGACAGGGAAGAAAAUGCCUAUAAGUAACUGUGUAUGUAUUGACGGUACCUGUAUAAGCAGCCCCGGCUAACUCCGUGCCAGCAGCCGCGGUAAUACGGGGGGGGCGAGCGUUGUUCGGAGGGACUGGGCGUAAAGAGCACGUAGGCGGUGUUGUAAGUCAUUAGUCAAAGACUAGAGCUCAACUUUAGUAAGGCUAGUGAUACUAUAAUACUAGAGUAUCAGAGAGGAUUGCAGAAUUCCUGGUGUAGCGGUGAAAUGCGUAGAUAUCAGGAGGAAUACCGUUAGCGAAGGCGGCAAUCUGGCUGGAAACUGACGCUGAGGUGCGAAAGCGUGGGUAGCAAACAGGAUUAGAUACCCCUGUAGUC